rnacentral:rRNA from 1 species
GAUGAACGCUGGCGGCGUGCCUAAUACAUGCAAGUCGAGCGAACGGACGAGAAGCUUGCGUCUCUGAUGUUAGCGGCGGACGGGUGAGUAACACGUGGAUAACCUACCUAUAAGACUGGGAUAACUUCGGGUAACCGGAGCUAAUACCGGAUAAUAUUUUGAACCGCAUGGUUCGAAAGUAAAUGACGGUCUUGCUGUCACUUAUAGCUGGAUCCGCGCUGCAUUAGCUAGUUGGUAAGGUAACGGCUUACCAAGGCAACGAUGCAUAGCCGACCUGAGAGGGUGAUCGCCCACACUGGAACUGAGCCGCGGUCCAGACUCCUACGGGAGGCCGCAGUAGGGAAUCUUGCGCAAUGGGCGAAAGCCUGACGGAGCAACGCCGCGUGAGUGAUGAAGGUCUUCGGAUCGUAAAACUCUGUUAUUAGGGAAGAACAUAUGUGUAAGUAACUGUGCACAUCUUGACGGUACCUAGUCAGAAAGCCACGGCUAACUACGUG